rnacentral:rRNA from 1 species
UACGUAGGGGGCAAGCGUUGUCCGGAAUCAUUGGGCGUAAAGCGCGCGUAGGCGGCCCGGUAAGUCCGCUGUAAAAGUCCAGGGCUCAACCCUGGAAAGCCGGUGGAUACUGUCGGGCUAGAGUCCGGAAGAGGCGAGUGGAAUUCCUGGUGUAGCGGUGGAAUGCGCAGAUAUCAGGAGGAAUACCGAUGGCGAAGGCAGGUCCUGCUGGGCUAUAACUGACGCUCAU